rnacentral:rRNA from 1 species
UACGAAGGGGGCUAGCGUUGCUCGGAAUUACUGGGCGUAAAGGGCGCGUAGGCGGACAGUUUAGUCGGGGGUGAAAGCCCAGGGCUCAACCCUGGAACUGCCUUCGAUACUGGCUGUCUUGAGUUCGGGAGAGGUGAGUGGAACGCCGAGUGUAGAGGUGAAAUUCGUAGAUAUUCGGCAGAACACCAGUGGCGAAGGCGACUCACUGGCCCGAUACUGACGCUGAUGCGCGAAAGCGUGGGGAGCAAACAGG